GAGAGUUAAACAGUACGUGAAAUUGUUGAAAGGGAAACGAUUGAAGCCAGUCGUACCUGCGGACAAUCAGCUUUUUGAGUGUGAUUAUGUGGAUUGUGAGGAGUUUAAUCACCCUCAUGUUUUACGUAUUCGUGCUCUUGGGUGUACUUGCCCGUGUGGUAGGUUAACAUCAAUUUUGGUCGUCAUAAAAUGACUGGAGGAAUGUAGCUUUGGUCUCGUAUCGAAGUGUUAUAGACUCUGGUAGAUGUGACGAUUGGGAUUGAGGAUUGCAACGGAUACCCUUCGGGGCUACUCGUCUGAUCUCUGAAGGUUGCUCCGGUGCCGAAAGCGUGCUUACGGUCAUCGAAAGUGAUUUUCAAAAGGUUAGAACGGGUUAAAUUCGUUAAGGAUGUUGACGUAAUGGCUUUAAACGA
rnacentral:rRNA from 1 species